AACGCGAAGAACCUUACCUGGGUUUGACAUCUCUGGACAUCUCUAGAAAUAGAGCUUUUGUAGCAAUACAACCAGAAGACAGGUGCUGCAUGGCUGUCGUCAGCUCGUGUGGUGACAUGUUGGGUUAAGUCCCGCAACGAGCGCAACCCCUGUCCUUAGUUGCCAGCAUUCAGUUGGGCACUCUAAGGAGACUGCCGUGGUUAACACGGAGGAAGGUGGGGAUGACGUCAAGUCCUCAUGGCCUUUAUAUCCAGGGCGACACACGUGAUACAAUGGACGGUACAAAGGGAUGCCAAGGCGCGAGCCGGAGCUAAUCUCAAAAAGCCGUUCUCAGUUCGGAUUGGAGUCUGCAACUCGACUCCAUGAAGUUGGAAUCGCUAGUAAUCGCGGAUCAGCACGCCGCGGUGAAUACGUUCCCGGGCCUUGUACACACCGACGCGUA
rnacentral:rRNA from 1 species